rnacentral:misc_RNA from 1 species
AAAAGUUAUAAAUUUUUUUUAUACUAUUUUCCACCACAUUAUGUUAGGUUUCCUUUUUUUUUUUCUCACUUCUUCCACCACAAACUUAUCACAUUUCUAUACUAAAGCAUUCGAUGCUCAUGAUAAUGCUGUACAACAUGACUUACAAAUUCUUUAGAACUAUAAUGCAUUUGCACUUACAUCUUUUCAUUUAUGACACAUACAAAAAUCCCUUUUAUUUUAUUUUUAAAGGUGAGGGGGAGGUUUGGGCAAUGGUAGUGGGAAUGUCAGUUGAUAUCCAUCUACAAAAAUUAAAUACCCCUACAUAUGUUUCUAGUUAUGUGAAAUGAAAUAUAGAAUUGUCAACAACCUCUGACCUGGGAAGUGAGAUGGAUAGGUUGAUCAGAAAUGAGGUUUUAUUAUACAGAUGUAAAUUG